rnacentral:rRNA from 1 species
UGGGGAAUUUUGGACAAUGGGCGCAAGCCUGAUCCAGCCAUGCCGCGUGCGGGAAGAAGGCCUUCGGGUUGUAAACCGCUUUUGUCAGGGAAGAAAUCUUCUGAGUUAAUACCUCGGGAGGAUGACGGUACCUGAAGAAUAAGCACCGGCUAACUACGUGCCAGCAGCCGCGGUAAUACGUAGGGUGCAAGCGUUAAUCGGAAUUACUGGGCGUAAAAGCGUGCGCAAGGCGGUUUUGUAAGACAGAGGUGAAAUCCCCGGGCUCAACCUGGGAACUGCCUUUGUGACUGCAAGGCUUGAGUGCGGCAGAGGGGGAAUGGAAUUCCGCGUGUAGCAGUGAAAAUGCGUAGAUAUGCGGAGGAAACACCGAUGGCGAAAGGCAAAUCCCCUGGGCCUGCACUGACGCUCAUGCACGAAAAGCGUGGGGAGCAAAACAGGAUUAG